rnacentral:sRNA from 1 species
UCUAGUUCAAGGAUUGUGUCCACUAGAUUAGCCUGUGGACACACCUGUGGGGCAUUCUCUUGAAAGAUUGGUGUAGAAAGGUCCAGCUGUGCCUUCCCACACUAUGGGCGGUAUGGGCGGUGCCUUCCCACACUGUGGGCGGUGCCACCUUGGGUCCUGCUUGCUAUAAGAAAGCAAGGUAUUCAAGCUAGCAAGCAGUGUUCUUCCACGGCCUCUGCAUCAGGUCUCGCCUUGGCUUCUCUCAAUGAUGGACUUUAAACUACAAUACUGCUUCUAGGUAUCAUUGGUAUAAUAUCCAUGCCAAGAGCCUUAGAGCCUUGGUUCCUACCUGAACAGAAAAGGUGGCCAUGAGCCACAAAUGGAAAGCUCGUUUGCCUGCCUUCCACCAUGCAGC